rnacentral:rRNA from 1 species
UUGGGGCUGGCAGCGAUCGAGUGCUGCAGGAAGAGGCAGGCCUCAAGACCCACCUGGAUGCACUCUGGUGAUGCCCCAACCAAGUUCUUCAUGGUAAAAAUCUGCUCGAGAAGGAGGAAGAAUUUCAUUCAUGCGCUGAAAAUCAAUGAAACGGUAGCCACGGAGCACAACGACAAAGGAGCAGCCAUUCACAACCAUUUUGAUAACAUCCUUGGAGCUACCCAAUAGAGAUUAACCACGAUUAACUAGAGCUAGAUUCAAAUGCCAACAAUCCAAGGCGGUGGGCUCGACAACCCAUUUUCAGAUGAAGAGGUGUGGGCUUUCAGACCACGCCGGCAGAGAAAUCACCCGGGCCGGACGGAUUUAGUGGCUUGUUCUUCAGGUCAUGCUGGCCGAUAA